rnacentral:rRNA from 1 species
GGUUAAGCGACUAAGCGUACACGGUGGAUGCCCUGGCAGUCAGAGGCGAUGAAGGACGUGCUAAUCUGCGAAAAGCGUCGGUAAGGUGAUAUGAACCGUUACAGCCGGCGAUGUCCGAAUGGGGAAACCCAGUGCAAUUCGUUGCACUAUCGUUAACUGAAUACAUAGGUUAACGAGGCGAACCGGGGGAACUGAAACAUCUAAGUACCCCGAGGAAAAGAAAUCAACCGAGAUUCCCCCAGUAGCGGCGAGCGAACGGGGAGCAGCCCAGAGUCUGAAUCAGCUUGUGUGUUAGUGGAACGGUCUGGAAAGUCCGACGGUACAGGGUGAUAGUCCCGUACACCAAAAUGCACAGGCUGUGAACUCGAAGAGUAGGGCGGGACACGUGGUAUCCUGUCUGAAUAUGGGGGGACCAUCCUCCAAGGCUAAAUACUCCUGACUGACCGAUAGUGAACCAGUACCGUGAGGGAAAGGCGAAAAGAACCCCGGCGAGGGGAGUGAAAAAGAACCUGAAACCGUGUACGUACAAGCAGUGGGAGCACCUUCGGGUGUGACUGCGUACCUUUUGUAUAAUGGGUCAGCGACUUAUAUUCUGUAGCAAGGUUAACCGUAUAGGGGAGCCGCAGGGAAACCGAGUCUUAACUGGGCGUUAAGUUGCAGGGUAUAGACCCGAAACCCGGUGAUCUAGCCAUGGGCAGGUUGAAGGUUGGGUAACACUAACUGGAGGACCGAACCGACUAAUGUUGAAAAAUUAGCGGAUGACUUGUGGCUGGGGGUGAAAGGCCAAUCAAACCGGGAGAUAGCUGGUUCUCCCCGAAAGCUAUUUAGGUAGCGCCUCGUGAACUCAUCUUCGGGGGUAGAGCACUGUUUCGGCUAGGGGGUCAUCCCGACUUACCAACCCGAUGCAAACUACGAAUACCGAAGAAUGUUAUCACGGGAGACACACGGCGGGUGCUAACGUCCGUCGUGAAGAGGGAAACAACCCAGACCGCCAGCUAAGGUCCCAAAGUCACAGUUAAGUGGGAAACGAUGUGGGAAGGCACAGACAGCCAGGAUGUUGGCUUAGAAGCAGCCAUCAUUUAAAGAAAGCGUAAUAGCUCACUGGUCGAGUCGGCCUGCGCGGAAGAUGUAACGGGGCUAAACUGUGCACCGAAGCUGCGGCAGCGACACUAUGUGUUGUUGGGUAGGGGAGCGUUCUGUAAGCCUGCGAAGGUGGCCUGUGAGGGUUGCUGGAGGUAUCAGAAGUGCGAAUGCUGACAUAAGUAACGAUAAUGCGGGUGAAAAGCCCGCACGCCGGAAGACCAAGGGUUCCUGUCCAACGUUAAUCGGGGCAGGGUGAGUCGACCCCUAAGGCGAGGCCGAAAGGCGUAGUCGAUGGGAAACAGGUUAAUAUUCCUGUACUUGGUGUUACUGCGAAGGGGGGACGGAGAAGGCUAUGUUAGCCGGGCGACGGUUGUCCCGGUUUAAGCAUGUAGGCGGAGGUUCCAGGUAAAUCCGGUACCUUUUUAACGCUGAGGUGUGAUGACGAGGCACUACGGUGCUGAAGUAACAAAUGCCCUGCUUCCAGGAAAAGCCUCUAAGCAUCAGGUAACAUUAAAUCGUACCCCAAACCGACACAGGUGGUCAGGUAGAGAAUACCAAGGCGCUUGAGAGAACUCGGGUGAAGGAACUAGGCAAAAUGGUGCCGUAACUUCGGGAGAAGGCACGCUGAUAUGUAGGUGAAGCCCCUGCGGGUGGAGCUGAAAUCAGUCGAAGAUACCAGCUGGCUGCAACUGUUUAUUAAAAACACAGCACUGUGCAAACACGAAAGUGGACGUAUACGGUGUGACGCCUGCCCGGUGCCGGAAGGUUAAUUGAUGGGGUUAUCCGUAAGGAGAAGCUCUUGAUCGAAGCCCCGGUAAACGGCGGCCGUAACUAUAACGGUCCUAAGGUAGCGAAAUUCCUUGUCGGGUAAGUUCCGACCUGCACGAAUGGCGUAAUGAUGGCCAGGCUGUCUCCACCCGAGACUCAGUGAAAUUGAACUCGCUGUGAAGAUGCAGUGUACCCGCGGCAAGACGGAAAGACCCCGUGAACCUUUACUAUAGCUUGACACUGAACAUUGAGCCUUGAUGUGUAGGAUAGGUGGGAGGCUUUGAAGCGUGGACGCCAGUCUGCGUGGAGCCAACCUUGAAAUACCACCCUUUAAUGUUUGAUGUUCUAACGUUGGCCCCUUAUCGGGGUUGCGGACAGUGUCUGGUGGGUAGUUUGACUGGGGCGGUCUCCUCCCAAAGAGUAACGGAGGAGCACGAAGGUUAGCUAAUCCUGGUCGGACAUCAGGAGGUUAGUGCAAUGGCAUAAGCUAGCUUGACUGCGAGCGUGACGGCGCGAGCAGGUGCGAAAGCAGGUCAUAGUGAUCCGGUGGUUCUGAAUGGAAGGGCCAUCGCUCAACGGAUAAAAGGUACUCCGGGGAUAACAGGCUGAUACCGCCCAAGAGUUCAUAUCGACGGCGGUGUUUGGCACCUCGAUGUCGGCUCAUCACAUCCUGGGGCUGAAGUAGGUCCCAAGGGUAUGGCUGUUCGCCAUUUAAAGUGGUACGCGAGCUGGGUUUAGAACGUCGUGAGACAGUUCGGUCCCUAUCUGCCGUGGGCGCUGGAGAAUUGAGGGGGGCUGCUCCUAGUACGAGAGGACCGGAGUGGACGCAUCACUGGUGUUCGGGUUGUCAUGCCAAUGGCAUUGCCCGGUAGCUAAAUGCGGAAGAGAUAAGUGCUGAAAGCAUCUAAGCACGAAACUUGCCCCGAGAUGAGUUCUCCCUGAGACUAUAAGUCUCCUGAAGGAACGUUAAAGACGAUGACGUUGAUAGGUCGGGUGUGUAAGCGUAGCGAUACGUUGAGCUAACCGAUACUAAUGAACCGUGAGGCUUAACCUU